CGACACCGGAGAGGGAGCCUGAGAAACGGCUACCACAUCCAAGGAUGGCAGCAGGCGCGCAAAUUACCCAAUCCCGACACGGGGAGGUAGUGACAAUAAAUAACAAUACGGGGUUCUUUCGGAUCUCGUAAUUGGAAUGAGUACAAUUUAAAUCUCUUAACGAGGAACAAUUGGAGGGCAAGUCUGGUGCCAGCAGCCGCGGUAAUUCCAGCUCCAAUAGCGUAUAUUAAAGUUGUUGCAGUUAAAAAGCUCGUAGUUGAAUUUCGGGGUCAGCAGGUUGGUCGUGCCUAUGGUAUGCACUGGCUUUACUGAUUCCUCCUUCUUGAAGAACUGUAAUUUCAUUAAUUUGGUGUUGCAGGGAAACAGGACUGUUACUUUGAAAAAAUUAGAGUGUUUAAAGCAGGCUAACGCUUGAAUACAUUAGCAUGGAAUAAUGAAAUAGGACGUUUGAUCCUAUUUUGUUGGUUUCUAGGAUUGACGUAAUGAUUAAUAGGGAUAGUUGGGGGCAUUAGUAUUCAAUUGUCAGAGGUGAAAUUCUUGGAUUUAUUGAAGACUAACUACUGCGAAAGCAUUUGCCAAGGAUGUUUUCAUUAAUCAAGAACGAAAGUUAGGGGAUCGAAGACGAUCAGAUACCGUCGUAGUCUUAACCAUAAACUAUGCCGACUAGGGAUCGGAUGAUGUUAAUUUU
rnacentral:rRNA from 1 species